rnacentral:rRNA from 1 species
CGAGGCCGCGAGGUGGAGCAAAUCCCAAAAAUAAACGUCCCAGUUCGGACUGCAGUCUGCAACUCGGCUGCAUGAAGCUGGAAUCGCUAGUAAUCGCGGAUCAGAAUGCCGCGGUGAAUACGUUCCCGGGUCUUGUACACACCGCCCGUCACACCAUGGGAGCCGGGAAUGCCCGAAGUCAGUGGCCCAACCGCAGGGAGGGAGCUGCCGAAGGCAGGCCUGGUGACUGGGGUGAAGUCGUAACAAGGUAGC